rnacentral:rRNA from 1 species
UGCUGGAGGUAUCAGAAGUGCGAAUGCUGACAUAAGUAACGAUAAAGCGGGUGAAAAGCCCGCUCGCCGGAAGACCAAGGGUUCCUGUCCAACGUUAAUCGGGGCAGGGUGAGUCGACCCCUAAGGCGAGGCCGAAAGGCGUAGUCGAUGGGAAACGGGUUAAUAUUCCCGUACUUGGUGUUACUGCGAAGGGGGGACGGAGAAGGCUAUGUUGGCCGGGCGACGGUUGUCCCGGUUUAAGCGUGUAGGUGUGUGUUCCAGGUAAAUCCGGUUCACUUUAACACUGAGGCGUGACGACGAGGCACUACGGUGCUGAAGCAACAAAUGCCCUGCUUCCAGGAAAAGCCUCUAAGCAUCAGGUAACAUCAAAUCGUACCCCAAACCGACACAGGUGGUCAGGUAGAGAAUACCAAGGCGCUUGAGAGAACUCGGGUGAAGGAACUAGGCAAAAUGGUGCCGUAACUUCGGGAGAAGGCACGCUGACACGUAGGUGAAGUGAUUUACUCACGGAGCUGAAGUCAGUCGAAGAUACCAGCUGGCUGCAACUGUUUAUUAAAAACACAGCACUGUGCAAACACGAAAGUGGACGUAUACGGUGUGACGCCUGCCCGGUGCCGGAAGGUUAAUUGAUGGGGUCAGCGCAAGCGAAGCUCCUGAUCGAAGCCCCGGUAAACGGCGGCCGUAACUAUAACGGUCCUAAGGUAGCGAAAUUCCUUGUCGGGUAAGUUCCGACCUGCACGAAUGGCGUAAUGAUGGCCAGGCUGUCUCCACCCGAGACUCAGUGAAAUUGAACUCGCUGUGAAGAUGCAGUGUACCCGCGGCAAGACGGAAAGACCCCGUGAACCUUUACUAUAGCUUGACACUGAACAUUGAGCCUUGAUGUGUAGGAUAGGUGGGAGGCUUUGAAGUGUGGACGCCAGUCUGCAUGGAGCCGACCUUGAAAUACCACCCUUUAAUGUUUGAUGUUCUAACGUGGACCCGUUACCGGGUUGCGGACAGUGUCUGGUGGGUAGUUUGACUGGGGCGGUCUCCUCCUAAAGAGUAACGGAGGAGCACGAAGGUUGGCUAAUCCUGGUCGGACAUCAGGAGGUUAGUGCAAUGGCAUAAGCCAGCUUGACUGCGAGCGUGACGGCGCGAGCAGGUGCGAAAGCAGGUCAUAGUGAUCCGGUGGUUCUGAAUGGAAGGGCCAUCGCUCAACGGAUAAAAGGUACUCCGGGGAUAACAGGCUGAUACCGCCCAAGAGUUCAUAUCGACGGCGGUGUUUGGCACCUCGAUGUCGGCUCAUCACAUCCUGGGGCUGAAGUAGGUCCCAAGGGUAUGGCUGUUCGCCAUUUAAAGUGGUACGCGAGCUGGGUUUAGAACGUCGUGAGACAGUUCGGUCCCUAUCUGCCGUGGGCGCUGGAGAACUGAGGGGGGCUGCUCCUAGUACGAGAGGACCGGAGUGGACGCAUCACUGGUGUUCGGGUUGUCAUGCCAAUGGCACUGCCCGGUAGCUAAAUGCGGAAGAGAUAAGUGCUGAAAGCAUCUAAGCACGAAACUUGCCCCGAGAUGAGUUCUCCCUGAGACUUAGAGUCUCCUGAAGGAACGUUGAAGACGACGACGUUGAUAGGCCGGGUGUGUAAGCGCAGCGAUGCGUUGAGCUAACCGGUACUAAUGAACCGUGAGGCUUAACCUU